rnacentral:lncRNA from 10 species
UCUCUCUACCCUUGCCUGCUGUACAUAGACAGAGCAAUAAAACAGGUGGACUAUGAAGAUAAAGUUUUGUCUCCUGUCAUCAUAGGAAAUGUAAGUUUACAAAACCCUAUCUGUUUAAGUGCACACAUUGGAUUCUGUCAAGAGAAAAUAUUGUAUGUUAACUGCUGUAUGUAAGUUAAUUGACACUAUCAAUAAAGAAGUAUCAGUAAUGAAGAAAUCCCAGUUACUAAAUAGGACAAAGAUGAAGACCAACUGUUUUAAGACAGAAGAAGACACAUGUUACAUUUGGUGGCUCUGUUUAGUAAAAGUGAUCAAGUACCAUAUUAGAAACUUAUAACUGCACAAUAUGGUAUAAAUAAAAGAGAGAAGUACACACUAAGGGGGGAAGGUUUGAAUCCAGAAUGCUCCUCUAAUUGAGAAUAUCCCACUGAGAUUCUCUGAGCAAGGUGUAACAGCAAUAACAAAUUACAUCCUGGAAGGUUACAAAAUUAUUGUCAGGAUUGUGGAGUUGACAUAUGAGGUAUUGAUGACCAAGUGUAGGUAUGAGCAAGGCAAGGAGCUGAAGAACUGUAAGGCUAUGUUAAAUGUUAACAUAUGUUAUGUUAAAUGAGACAUUUGCUAAUUUUUCAUAUUUCUGUGGUUUUAUUUAUAUUUCAAAUCUCCCUGCAGCCAGUGUUGGGCAAUAUUGAUUUAGAAUUGCAAUAGAACUGGGUAGCAGAGCUGACAUUGAGAGAGGUGCCUAAAUCUUCAAAUAAACAAACACAAAGUGCAGAUGUCACUAUGACAGAAUUAGUCCAUGGAUUCUUGUAUACCCAUUAAUUGAAAAGAAAAUGGGACAAUACACGCCGUACACAAAAU